CCUACGGGGAGCAGCAGUGAGGAAUAUUGGUCAAUGGCCGGAAGGCUGAACCAGCCAUGCCGCGUGAAGGUCAGUGCCCUAUGGGCGUUAAACUUCUUUUGUGCGGGAGCAAUACUGGUCACGUGUGGCCAGACGAGAGUACCGUACGAAUAAGCAUCGGCUAACUCCGUGCCAGCAGCCGCGGUAAUACGGUGGAUGCAAGCGUUAUCCGGAUUUAUUGGGUUUAAAGGGUGCGUAGGCUGUGAGGUAAGUCAGCGGUGAAAUGCCCCCGCUCAACGGGGUGAAGUGCCAUUGAUACUGCCGUGCUGGAAUGCGGAUGCCGUGGGAGGAAUGUGUGGUGUAGCGGUGAAAUGCAUAGAUAUCACACAGAACACCGAUUGCGAAGGCAUCUCACGAAGCCGCGAUUGACGCUGAUGCACGAAAGCGUGGGUAUCAAACAGGAUUAGAUACCCUAGUAGUC
rnacentral:rRNA from 1 species